GAAGCACAGAAGGGUUUCCCAUGGCGCCGCCCCCGGUCCGGUUCCCGGUGGCGGAUGUGCCCGGGGAGGCCGGGACCGGGCGGACGAGGGAAGCAGCCCAGGGGCCGUGAGGUUUGUCGGCUGUGGCCGUGUACUUCGCCCCGGAGGAGUGGGGGUGUCUGCGGCCCGCGCAGAAGGCCCUGAACCGGGACGUGACGCGGGAGACCUAUGGCUUCCUGGGCGCGCUCGGUGGAAAGAGAGGUGGAGGCGUGAAGCCCAGAGGCCCAGGAUCCAGAUCUCGGCAGCUGUGAGCAGAAACGAGGGAAAGGUCCUUCACUUCAAACCCCAGUGCAUUCUGCUUUCUGGACUGUAUCUCUCCCGCUCCUCAGAGACGGAGUACCCUAGAUGCAAGAGCCAAUUAAAGGAGCUGGUGCUCCCUGGAAUAGAGGGCACGCUUCGGGCCUGUCCGCACUGGGGAAGCUCAUCCAAGGAUUCUGUCUUUUACCCAGAGCAGGUCAAGUAGCUAGCAAGGACACACAUGUGGUGUCAAGCCUCUGUUGGCAUUGUUUGGUCUUGAAGACUUUAAGAGGUGGCCGUAAAGAGGACAGUGGCUUCAGAUAUUUGCAUGUUUCCUGGAUUUUGCAUCUUUUGAGUAAAGAUGUAUUCUUGGGCCACAGCAGCUGGAAAUAUGAUGAUGGGGAAUUUUUUUUUUUAAAGGAGUAUAUUACUUGUGAUUAGAGUUGAAAUCAAGGCAUAGUUAUCUUCCGACUUAAUUUUUACUGUAAUGUUUGUAUGUGUCAACAGUUGAGAGGUCUUUCUGACCUAUUUAGAUUUGCUAGCCCUACUUUAGAACAGGAAACUCUUGAAGGGAUAAAAGCAAGGAGGUGGGGGGGACUAAGCAUGUCUGCAUGUCAGGAGUGGUGCUAGGUGGCUCAAAUAUCUCUUGACCAAAAGACUGCUUCUCCAAAUACCUGGGUUCCAAAGAUGAUUAUUAAUGGGAACUGAGGGUUAUUUUUACUUCACCACAUAGCCUCUCCUGAAUUGGGAGACCUGGAUUCCAGGUUCAGCUCAGUCCCCACUAGCUGUGUGGCCUUAAGCAUAUUAUAUUAUUACAUUAUUCAGAUGUAAACUGACAAGUAAAAUUUAUGAACUAUAAUGACCUCCUGCGUGUUUCCUAACUUCUCAUAAUUAUCUGAUCAAGAUUCUUCAACAAACAUUUACAGUUUGGUGGGCAAUAAAACAAUUUGAAAGCA